rnacentral:lncRNA from 1 species
AAAAAUUCACAGCAAUUCGAAUUUUCCUAUCCCAACGUUCAUAUUUUAUCCCCAAAUUCAACCUUUGUAUUAACCCCUUCUCUCAUCGUUCUCAGGGUUAGAAAAUUGAAAUUAGAUAGAAAUUAGGAGCUUUUUGACGCUCUUACUUUGUUUGUCCCGUUUCUCGAUCGGAGUUUCUUGUGUGGUAGUGAAAAGUUCUUGCUUAUCUCGUAGUCUCGUAUUGCAGGAGGUAUAUUUUCUUUGCUUUUUUUUUCCUUUUUUUCUGUUUGAUUUGAACGAUAUGCGCUGUUAUAUGUAAAAUGGUGAAUCUUGAAAUUUGAUGGUUUGUUGUGAUCUUGAGUGCACUCUUCAUUGUUUGUUCCUAGUCUUGGCUGUUUUUGUUUCAUUGUUAUAGAUUCUUGUGCUUGAAUCUGAUUUGUGGAAAAGUGUUCCAUGUUGAAAGUUAUGGUUUCAGGUGAACCUGUUGCCAAAAGGUUAUAUCCGCCCGUGUUUGGAUUUUACUUCAAUUUUGUGGAAUAGGUUUGUUUGCAUGUCAAAAAAUUCACUGCUUAGAACACCUUAAUUAUCUAGUUUAAGAGUGAAACAAUAUUAAGUGAUUGCCCAUGUCAGAUAUGCUUUUCAUUAAGCAUGUGGUAUGUGUUCUUCAUAUCUUGAUAACCUUGCCAUAUAUAAUAGUGUGAACUAAUGAAACCUACGUGUUAAGGAAGAAUCUGUUAGUAUUUGGAUCUAUGUUGUAUGACAGUGAUAAUACUAUAAACUAACUUUCUAGUAUCCAAUGCAUCAGACUAUGUGAGAAAUAGGGUUGUCAAAAUUUUGGUUACUGGCUGAUUGCGCCCGUGGUCGAUCAAUCAAGAAAAUCACUGGAAGGAAACUUGUCCACGAGCUGCUGACCCCUCUGUGUCAUCCCUUUUAUAGUUGAUCUUCACCAUUUGACAAUUUCUAUGGUGGUCAUAUGCAUAUAUGAAUCUCUACAUAAUUUUAUUUGCAAUGAAAUAUGUCAUUAGCUUCAGACUGCACCAUCUUCUAGUGUCUAGGCUGAAGAGCAUGGACAGUCUACAUAGUUCCACGUUAUGUAUUAUCUUUAUACAUUGGUACAUUCAUUUUAUUUCACUGCAGUGUAUGCAUUUUCUUUAUACUAACACAUGGUGAUAUUUAUGUAAAUUUUUACUAUGUCAAUAACUUUUGGAAUUACUAUUAUCUGUGCACGGAUAUGACUUGUGACGUUCUUCCAGGAAUGAGAGAUUAAGGUCAGGGAGCAGCAGGAGUCAAUAAGAAAUCAGAGUAAAUUACAGGUAAGAUGACUAAACCUUCAUAUCGUUGAACUAGGAAGGGGACACUCAAAUCAACAUGCUUGGCACCAUAGUUUUAUGUUUUCUUUUACAUGUCCUAAUCUAAAAUGAUAUCCAUAUGGAACAUACCUAUAUGUUCUAAAAGUUCAAGCAGCUUACAUAUUUCUACCUGCUGAUCAUCUAAUAUAUACCAUCACUAAUGCAAACCUUUCAUAUUGAUAUAGUGUCUGUGACAGAUAAGUGAAUGUCGAGGAAAUAGUUCAACACAACCUUUUACAAUUUGAUGGAAUUUGAUGGAAGAAAAUGACCCUGCAAAGAUCUCUUACGUGUAAAAAUGAAGAUUUAUAGGUAGAUUUCACAUAAAAUUGAAUUGGAAUGAGCCACAAAACCAACUGAUCCCUGUAUGUCAUAAUUGUUUCCUGGGUUUAUAUAACAUGAUCAAACUAAUACAACAUUUUUAUAGGUCAAUUUGAAGCCUUGUGAUCUCUUAAAUUUUUGUAUUAGAUCAAAAAGCACGAGGACAAAGAUAUCUUGUUAAUUUUCCUUAUUAGACUCUUUAUAUUUUCAAUGAAAGUACUGGUGCUCCGUCAGAAAAAAUUUGGACAUAAGCCAUAAUUUCUUGAAAUGAAAAGUGUGCCAUUUCCCAAAAGAAACUUUUGGCAUCCAAUUAAUGAUUAUGAUGGUAUAGUAUCCUACCACAAUCUCAAACUGCAGUUUUGGUUCAUAGAAACAAGUACUUUCACUGAAUAUGAAAAACUGUGAACGUUG